AAAUUUUUCUAUCAACCCGCUGAAACCCCAUUCUGUUAAUUUGUUACGGACAAAAUCAUCCAUGACCAAGAACAGCAACUGGAAGGUGUCUUCAGUGUUCAG